rnacentral:lncRNA from 1 species
CCUCUGGGGAGAGGAACUUGGCGGCUGGGGACGCAGACAUAUUUUGAUCAGACUGUUGAGCCAGACAACUCCACCGGCACUUAACAUUCCAGUCCAGAGGCAGCCAGCGCACACUUGCAGAAGAUUCCACGCCUUUAGACUCUGGCAAGAAGCGAGAGCAUGGUGUUUUCGAGGUUCAUCCACAUUGUGCCCCCCGGUACAUAGUUGUAUAUUCUUCGUUGUGAGUCCUUCUAGUUGUGGCAUGUGGGACGCCGCCUCAGCGUGGUUUGAUGAGCAGUGCCAUGUCCGCGCCCAGGAUUCGAACCAACGAAACACUGGGCCGCCUGCAGCGGAGCGCGCGAACUCAACCACUCGGCCACGGGGCCAGCCCCUUACUUUCGCAUCUUUAACAUAAAAGAAAAUAUCAGCCAACCUUUAUGUUGAAUUUGUCAAUUGCAGCCAUAGGUUAGCUAGGAUAUAAGAGUUUGGCAAAAACCAACAGAAGCAUUCUGUGAGAAUCAAUUGGCUCUAUGGAAUUUACAAUAAAGAUUAAUGCAUAUUUUAUUAUUUUUAAAUUGUAAAUUACUCAUCCUUUAUAUCAGUA